AAGCCCGAGAGCCCUGGUGGAUUUGGCAAU
rnacentral:piRNA from 1 species